ensembl:snRNA U6 U6 spliceosomal RNA
GUGCUUGCUUCGGCAGCACAUAUACUAAAAUUGGAACGAUACAGAGAAGAUUAGCAUGUCCUGUGUGCAAGAAGGACAUGCAGGUUCAUGAAGCAGUCCAUAUUUUU